GUUUCCUACGGGACGCAGCAGUGGGGAAUAUUGCACAAUGGGGGAAACCCUGAUGCAGCGACGCCGCGUGAGCGAAGAAGUAUUUCGGUAUGUAAAGCUCUAUCAGCAGGGAAGAAAAAUGACGGUACCUGAGUAAGAAGCACCGGCUAAAUACGUGCCAGCAGCCGCGGUAAUACGUAUGGUGCAAGCGUUAUCCGGAUUUACUGGGUGUAAAGGGAGCGCAGGCGGUGCGGCAAGUCUGAUGUGAAAUACCGGGGCCCAACCCCGGGGCUGCAUUGGGAACUGCCAGGCUGGAGUGCCGGAGG
rnacentral:rRNA from 1 species